rnacentral:rRNA from 1 species
GCACCAGUGGGGAAUAUUGGGCAAUGGAGGAAACUCUGACCCAGCGACGCCGCGUGCGGGAUGAAGGCCUUCGGGUUGUAAACCGCUUUCAGCAGGGAAGAAGCGAAAGUGACGGUACCUGCAGAAGAAGCACCGGCUAACUAUGUGCCAGCAGCCGCGGUAAUACAUAGGGUGCAAGCGUUGUCCGGAAUUAUUGGGCGUAAAGAGCUCGUAGGUGGUUCGUCACGUCGGAUGUGAAACUCUGGGGCUUAACCCCAGACCUGCAUUCGAUACGGGCGAGCUUGAGUAUGGUAGGGGAGUCUGGAAUUCCUGGUGUAGCGGUGGAAUGCGCAGAUAUCAGGAGGAACACCAAUGGCGAAGGCAGGACUCUGGGCCAUUACUGACACUGAGGAGCGAAAGCGUGGGGAGCGAA